rnacentral:tRNA from 1 species
GGUGAUGUAGCUCAGUUGGUCAGAGCACCGGACUCAUAAUCCGGGGGUCGAGGGUUCAAAUCCCUCCAUCACCACCA